AUUGAACGCUGGCGGCAUGCCUAACACAUGCAAGUCGAACGGCAGCACGGCAGUAGCAAUACUGUGGGUGGCGAGUGGCGGACGGGUGAGGAAUACGUCGGAAUCUGCCCAGUCGUGGGGGAUAACUAGCCGAAAGGUUAGCUAAUACCGCAUACGACCGAGAGGUGAAAGCGGGGGACCGCAAGGCCUCGCGCGAUUGGAUGAGCCGACGUCGGAUUAGCUAGUUGGUGGGUAAAGGCCCACCAAGGCGACGAUCCGUAGCUGGUCUGAGAGGAUGAUCAGCCACACUGGAACUGAGACACGGUCCAGACUCCUACGGGAGACAGCAGUGGGGAAUAUUGGACAAUGGGCGCAAGCCUGAUCCAGCAAUGCCGCGUGUGUGAAGAAGGCCUCGGUUGUAAGUACGACUUUAUCUAGACGAAAGACGUAGGAG
rnacentral:rRNA from 1 species